GAUGAUGGAGAAGUUCAAGGUUUGUAUAUAUGCUGAUGGAGAUCCCAAGACAUUUUAUCAAACACCUAGGAAGCUCACUGGGAAAUACGCCAGUGAGGGAUAUUUCUUCCAAAACAUUCGGGAGAGCAGGUUCCGAACCCUCGAUCCGGAUCAGGCACACCUCUUCUUCAUACCAAUCUCCUGUCAUAAGAUGCGUGGCAAGAUGCUUGGAAAUUCAUUUCAAAGGAAGCCUACAAUCUUGAGAAAUGGGGGUACUCCACCAGUGGUUAAACCAAAACGAAGACCAUCUUUACAAUAUGGUGAUAAGUGCCAGCAUUCCUCGCGCAGCAUGUCUGUUAGUCCUACUCCUGAACGUGUUCGUGUCAGGGGCGGUCGCCAGCAUUUAACGCCAUAGCAUCCACUUUUGAGAAGCCUAAAGAUAGGAACCUUUCAACCCCACCUCCAAUUGUGAGAAAAGUGUAUCCAAAAUCAGGGACAGCAAACUUGAAUACUCUUUCUCUUGGUCUUGGAUCUAAGUCUUCAGCCAUAGCUCGGCUUACUUCUAGUUUUGAAAUGCCUUCAGCACGGGGAAAGUUGAUACCUCAGUCGCUUAGAGUGACUUCCAAUACACUCAAAUCAAACCCAAAAAGAAGUGAUAGUGAAGAUUCUAUGAGCAGCGGAUUAGAAUCUCUUACAGAGGAAGAUGCAAAAGAAGGUGAAGCUGACGACGAUGAAGGACUCCCAGUUUAUCCGUAUGGUAGCGUUAACACAGCUUCUAGCAAUCCAGUACCAGACAACGAGAGGCUUAUCUGUCGGCAACAGAGUUCAAAGAAAAACUUGGCAUGACGAAGACGAAUCUUACAAGUUGCCGAAAUGGAAACAAAACAAACUCAAAGUGACCGUUCAAUUGUUCUGAGGUUUACAUUAUACUUUGCCUCGUGUUGAUUCAAUGCAGUUCAAGUUGCAAGUAGAAGGAAACUUUGCCUGUCACUGUCUACAUAUUUUUUAACUUCCACAUUGUUGUCUUUGCUCUUUUUCUUAUACACCUCAGAUAUGCUAUCUAUUCUGUAGUGAUAAACUGGCAUGGAUUGAAAGGGACAGCAUCAGUGUUUUUUAACAUAGCUGCUUCUGCUCCUCCCAAGAUGGAUUUCAUGAUGUAGAGAGAAACUGGAGAUUUUCCACCAUUCUCCACCUUUAUUUGUAGUGGUUUGAUGAUGUGCAGAGUUUUUUUUCUUUGUUGAGAACUGCUUGAGGUUGCCUUUAUUGAGUUCUCUCUAAUCAUUCUUUCAUUCAUUAUUAAUUUUGGUGAAGCAAUUUUGAGCUUGCAAUUUGAUAAUA